UACGGAGGGGGCAAGCGUUGUUCGGAAUUACUGGGCGUAAAGAGCGCGCAGGCGGUCGAUCAAGUCGGAUGUGAAAGCCCCCGGCUCAACUGGGGAGGGUCAUUCGAUACUGGUCGACUCGAAGGCAGGAGAGGGAAGCGGAAUUCCCGGUGUAGUGGUGAAAUGCGUAGAUAUCGGGAGGAACACCAGUGGCGAAGGCGGCUUUCUGGCCUGUUCUUGACGCUGAGGCGCGAAAGCCAGGGGAGCAAACGGG
rnacentral:rRNA from 1 species